UCUACCAACAUGUACAUAUUACCUCAACUAACCGGUGCCACCGCAUAGUCUCGCUAUUGUUAUUUUACUGCUGCUCUUUAAUUACUUGUUACUUUUAAACUGCAUUGUUGGUUAGGGACUCGUAAGUAAGCAUUUCACUGUAAGGUGAACACCUGUUGUAUUUGGCGUAUGUGACUAAUACAAUUGGAUUUGAUUUUACUGUAUGUGUUCAAAUGCAUAAACAUUAGCACCACUAUUUAUGGGUAUGCUUGUCAUCGGACUAGGCAUUUUGGGGGGAUAAAAAUAAAUGGAAUAGAGCUAAGCAGGCAAAAUCCUAGAGGAAAAUCUGAUUUUGGUCUGCUUUUCAACAGACACUGGGAGACACUCACCUUUCAGUAGGACAAUAACCUAAAACACAAGGCCAAAUACACUGGAGUUGCUUACCAAGAAGACAUUACAGUUUUUGACAAUUGCUUACACAUGAUUUCUGAAACUAUGGCUCCUUUUCUCUGGACUCUAUACACACACACACACACACACACACACACACACACAACCCCAAAACACACACAACAUGCAAAACGUCACACCUUGCAAAACCAAGCGCUUCAUUCAAAAGUUUUGAAUGGUGUGUCUAAUGUAGAGAACUGUGUUUAGUGUUUUGCAAAAAGUGUGUUUUACAAUUGCAGAUUGAGUGUAAAGCAGGUAACGUGCUUGCAGUUUUGCAGACUUGGUCUGAAGAUUAGGUACAUGAGUUAAUGCUUUCACUGAGUGUGCCUGAAGUACCACUUUCAGUGUGUAAGCGAUUAUUUUUAAAAAACUGUAAAUGUUCCUGAGUGGCAUAGUUACAGUUUAGACUUAAAUGGGCUUGUCAAAGGUUUAAAAUGGCUGUCUAGCAAUGAUCAGCAUCCAAUUGAUAGAGCAUGAAGAAUUUUUUUUAAGAAUAAUGUGCAAAUAUUGUACAAUCCAGGUGUGCAAAGCUUUGAGAUUUACCCAGAAAGGCUCACAGUUGUAAUCGCUGCCAAAGGUGAUUCUAACAUGUAUUGCCUCAGGGGUGUAAAUUAGAUAUUUCUGUAUUUCAUUUUCAAUACAUUUGCAAAAAUGUCUAAAAACAUGUUCAAUUUUGUCAUUAUAGGGUAUUAUGUGUAGAUGAGUGAGAUUAUUAUUUUUUUGUACACUUUGAAUUCAGGCUUUAACAACAAAAUGUGGAAUAAGAAUUUGUUCUUCACUGACUUGCCAAGUUAAAUAAAGGUGAAAUAAAAUAAAAUAAGUCAAGGGUAUGAAUAUUUUCUGAAAGCAUAGAGAGCAUGCAUGAAUACAGAGCUGUAUUCAAAUAAAUAUAUUAUUGCUCUGACUCAAGAGAGUUAAAACAAUCACGUAGAAAAUAUAUUUACAGAGAUGAGCAAUACAAGUUUCUAUUUUCACAUGGUAGACUGUUGCACAGAGUAGUCCUCUUGACCCUAUUUUCCUUAUGGGGGGAUUCAGACCGAGUUACGCGCCCGUAAAUGGAACUUAUUUCAUUUUUUAUGGACUUUUCUCUACGCAUAUUCUGACCUUGAAUUUAAGCAUAGGGAAACGCAUGUGCCAGACAGAUAUUCGUUUAGGGAUGAGAUUACAGAAAUUGAGGUGUGUCUACAGAUACAGCGUAUUCUGACCUUAAUUGAAUUCCCUCAUAAUUCCACCACCUUUACGCACCAGAAACUAACUCGAGCAAUUUGUAUGUUACCUUAUGAUCGCUUGAGACAAAGGUGAAAUCAGUCAUAUGGCUGCAAACUGAAAAACAUUUCAACAUGACAGCUAUUUACAGUAUGUCCCUUUCACACAGUGAAGUAUGAAAUGCUGUGCCGUUAUGCAGAAUAACAAUGAUGUGGUUUAAUAACUGUCAGGGAUGAAUCUUGGAGAUGCAAAAACGAGCAGGAUGACAGUAGCGCCAAAUUGAACCUUUGUGCGCUCUAGAAUGUUUUAAUUAUAUUCCCCAACUUUUCCUGUUUCCUACAAUGUAUUAUUAUGUUAAAUAUUAUUAGCCACUGUCAGUAGCGACCAUAAGUAAUAACCACGCAUAUUUAACUGCCAAUUUAGGAUUAGAUCCCUUCAUUUCGUAUCAUUCCAUUCCAUUGUUUAUUUUAGCCUAACUUACCUCUGUAAACGCUGUCACGUCGAUAUGGUUGUUGCUGAGGGUUGCUAGCAGUAGUGGAUACUAUUUCAUUACAAGUUGUGCAAUCAUUUGGGACAUGUAGCCUAUUUCAAUCAUUUGGGACAUGUAGCCUAUUUCAAUCGUUAUGGAACGCAGACCAAAUGUGGCAGUUUAAACCUGGAGCUUUGUGCACGGUUCAUCACAGUUCAAUCUUCAGUGAGGAUUAAGAAAGAUGUAUAGGACUAUUCAACCACUAUUGUACAAUUGUCUCCCCUUCCAAUAUUUAAUGGAUUGAACAACUAAAUUUGGCGACUUUCAGGUUGAAUCAAACCUAUUUUUUUUAUUCACCAAGAUAUCACGUGGUUAGAGGCUCUCCAAACCAGUUUUUUAAGUCCGUGACUGCGAAUAUGGAGUUUCCGAAAAAUAAUGUAACUCCCUACAUGCGUUUUGCAUUGGGGCAAAAACAAUCUCCGUUUUAACCAAACAAUAGGCCCUGCUAACUGCUAUUUCGCUUCUCAAUGAUCAUGCAAGUACUGCACAAGUAGGCUACCUAUCUAUUCCACCUCUGGGCAGCCGAACAUUCUAGGCAGCCCGAGCAUGGACCGGUAACCAGUCUGAUAAUGGGCGAGUUUGUUUUGCAUCCCCCGGUGCGCUAUUAUUUCUUGCAUUGGUUGUCAACCACUGCUUUAGACUGCCUACAAUGUUGUAUGAUAAUCUUCCUAGUUAUCCUGCCAUACAGUAUAACUAGCCAAUGUUUGCAAUGAUAAUGACAAAAUAAUCAAUAUUUUGACUGCCUGUAUGUGUCUUGCUUGUGUUUGAUAUAAUUGCCUAAAUAUUGCUUGAGUUUGAUAGGCUACAUGCAGCUAUUUAGACAAGCAUAACACCCCUCCUGAAAAAAGAAUGAAAAUAACAAAAAUGACACAAAAAACACAAAAAAUAACAUGAAAUCGGGCUUGAGGCAUGGAAUGCGUAGUUCGAACAUGUCGACCAUCUUUAGUGUACAACCUGACAUUACAUCCCUGGUAGUGGGAUAGUGUCAGCGGAGCAGUGGGAGCACUGAGCAGAAGCUUCGUAGACUGCAGAGUGGGCAACAGGUACGUAAAAAAAAAGAUCAUGCGCUGAAAUCUCCAUAUCAAUAGCCGCGGCAAAUCGGUUUCCAGAAAAUCCGGCACAGCAGCCACUGUUUUUUUUAUGAAGUAGGUCAAUUUAUAUACUUUCCUAACCCUAAAUAUUCUACAUGAUCAGAGUAUUUUUUAAUCUACUUAACGGAGGCAAAUAUGUAUAUUUUGAUGGCUUUCUUCAUUGAUUCCUGAUGAUCAGAACCGUUCUCGUUAUAUAUUCUAGUGAGUCUGUAGAGAAAAUUCGAAUUAAAGGUACACCAUAUUUAAAGGGAUGACUUUUGAUAAAUGUACUGAAAAAUCUACUGAAUGAAAACUUCAUGAGAAAAUGUGUUGGUCAACAAGUGGGAAGGUUUUCUGUGGUUGAAUUACAUUUAUUCAGUGAGCAUAAGGGCGCCACACCCAAAGAGUUUGUUACGCAUCUGCAUACGGCAAGUCUCAAUACCAAAUACUGAGAAGUCCUUAAAUCAAAACACAUAAAAAGGGCAUAGAUUUCCUAAGUCUGAAUUGGCCCCUAUAGGAACAGUAGUCUCUGUAGCCCUACACUGACCUGCAUCUUCUGCAGCCUCCUCAUCUGAGUGUCGAUCUCCUUGGGGCUCUGCUGGUCGAGGGUCCACAGCGACUCGAUGGCCAUGAGACGGUUCUCGGUGGCCUCAUUGUAGCAGCGCAGGGCCAGUUGGAACUGACACCACAGACCCUAGUACCUUGUUUUUGAUGUCAUCUCUGGUUCUCUGGUGGUCUUGGCGUGCCUCACACAUAUCUCAGUCAUAGUAAGUCCAUUUUUCACACACACCUGUCAAUUCACAUACAACGCAUAGCAUCACUAUCUUAUUAAUAUCAAACUUGCAUGAUUGGGGUUAGAAAAGCUUUUAAAUUCAAUAGUUUAGUGCAUCACAAUUCAAAUAUAUUAAUUGCUGUGCAUGACUGUGCAUAGUAUGUCUGUCGUAUUAGAGAACUGGAUGGAUAGGUCUAUCUGUCCUGGUGUGUCUGUAUGUGUGUUUGUGUGUGUGAGAAGGUUUUACUCAGAGUUGACGUCGUAGCUCAGUCCCUCCAGGACUAUGUCCCACUGCUGCUCCAGGGAUGUCAGCCUACCCUUCUGCAGGGCCAGCAGACAGUCCACACACUGCAGGGGAGGUGAUCCACCCGGACCAAGCCUGUGCCAUCCCCGGAAGGAAGAUCACGGACAGUCUGGACUCUGGACAGGACUGACUGGUACGGACGAGCCUCUGGGGCGAGACUGAAUAGAGAGACAAGAUGGAGGGCUCGCUAUAGGUGAGCCAAUAACGGUUUGGCGCAAUGUGGCCCAUCCUGCUCUGCUGAACCGACACCGGGAACCGACCUGGAUGGUCACCCACGGGAUCCUCCCAGUCAGGACUGUUAUGCUCUCUUGGGGCAUGGCGAGGUCAUCCGCGUGCCCCCAACUAGGCUGCGACCAAGACGAGUCAGUCAGGCACUUGCUCUGGGAGUGCAGAGCUGCCAUGGACCUAUGGAAGGAAUCAGGCCCCCUAACACCUCAGCUCGUGCUAUAUGGGUUGGGCCGAAGGCCUAUCCCACCGAACGCCUUCACCAAGCUCUGGCUCACCCUCACGUGUCUGAAGGAUGCACUGUGGUCCUCCCGCAACCUGCUAGUAGGAAAACCAGUAGAGACCACCCCCCAGGCAGUGGCUUUAGUAGCAACGGAAGCCAUGGGGAGGUACGAAUGAAAGGGGGCCUCGACCUGAGAUGAAGGGUCCCCCACAACAUCUAAGGUCCCGGCAGCCAUGGCCUGACAGCGCUGCGCCCAGGGGAGGGGUCUCCUCUGGACCCCGAUUCUGAAGAGCAGGAUGAAGCUUUUUUGAUAAAGACUCACCCCAUUCCUGUACAAAGGACCGAAGACAGUUUUUUUUUAACAAAGUUACUUUUUUUAACAUAUUUUCCAUGUCUUAAAAAUGUUUACUUUUGUUUUAAAUCAUGUGUGCACAUUUUGAAAUGGCUUUACAGAUUGGAUAUUUUUUUUAAGUACUUUUGUCUUAGGUUGUUUUUUUGUUUUUAAUUAACACUAAACUAAUAUUCAAUGCUGUUUUUAACACAUAUUAUGCCGUGUUUAAUGUUUACAUAUGAUGAUUUAAAAAUGAGCUGUGCAAGUGAAAUUAUGUUCAUGCAAUUUUACCAAAAGAAAAAAGUGCAGUAGUGCGUGAGGAUGGCCUGGAAAUCGGCGAUUAAAACCUCAUCAAAAUAUAUCGACGUAUGCCGAUUUUAUGUAUAGAGCACACUUCUGGUAGAACAGAAUUCAGUUUUUACUUUCUGCAUUGUUGCAAACUAGCAUACGGAAAAACUCUCUGCAAAAUGUGUCGUACCCGGUCUGAAACAGUGAUGAACUAACACGCAGCACCCCAAGCUAAGAUUUUUAUAACUAAACCAAGAUAGACCACAGCCUGUCGUUUCCAAUUGGAACAAAUUAGUCAUAGUGGGCAGAACAAACAAGUAGGUGGGCAGAGCCAAGCACGAGCUAGCGUACGUCUGCAUAUUUCCGUUCGGGAACGCCACCUCUGUGAAGUGUGAGUGUGCAAUAACUCCUUCUAAACAACGCAUUUUUUUUGUUGCAAAGGAUAAAGUCUACAAAACUUUGUCCAGAACACAUUCUAGUUUUGGGAACAGAAAACUGAAUUGAAAUCAAAUGUUUUAUCGGUGAGAAUAUUUGCAGAAUGUCGGCCAAAAUCCAUCUCGUUCCAUCUUUUCCCACUGCCGGCCAGUGGGCUUCCUCUCACUACCAUAUUUGGUAUAUUUGGUAGCGAGUGGAAACGCCAUGCGGAUGCUUCACAUUUAAACAUCCAGUGAAUAUCUGCCUCAUUGUUCUAUCUUAGCCCCCGGCCCUAAACCCUCAGCCCUUGAAUGACGUUUUACAUCGUCACAUCCGAGUCUACCUUAUUAAAUGUCCCUUGCCCAAGGGAGGGAGAAUGAUGAUCAGAGAGGAAACAUCCUUGUAAACCUUGAAGUUGAGUUUAAAAACAACCAACCUAAAGCUAUUAAUGUACCUAGCAAGCUAAGAUAGUUAGCCAGCUAUGGGUAACUGUAGCUAUCUAGAUUCAUAGUUUGGUCAUUUAUUCCAAUACAUUUUAUAAUUCCCCCCAAAAAUGUAUGAAGCUAGUUACGUUUUAUAGGCUCCUCACUACGAGACUAAGCCAAUUUGCCAACUCUAAAAUCAAUGUAAUUUAUAUUUUUUAGCAAGCUAGCAUUAUAAUUUUAACUGACAUGCCGAAAAUGCAGCCCUGUUGAUUAAAUUUAACACUUCGUGUCCACCGGAGUUUGACACGUGACUAGAGUUUGCGUUGAAUUGUGGGUCAUAUCAACCCCACAAGUGAUCAAAGUUCUUCAUUCGCUCCUUCAAGCUAAAUCAAGGGUCGAGGGGGCAAUGUUUUUGAAUUGGAACUCCACUUAAAAUGGUAAUCAAACUGCAUCCAAUUCGAUGGGGAUUCCCCUGAGAGAAAGUGGCUAGGGCUGAGGGGGUCAAAAUAACGUUUUUGUACUGUAGCCCAAGGAUGUCCACUAGUUACCACAGCCACAAAGUCAAAAUUGUCUAUAUCUUUAAACAUUUACGAAACCUAACAUUUGUUUUUCAGUCUUAAUUUAAGUUUAGGCAUAAGUUUAGGAUUGUUGUUAAGGUUAUGUUUAAAAUCACAUGCUGAGAUGAUAAAUUGUAGGGUUGGGGAGUACAUGUAAAGGAUUACAAAAACCAGUAACUGUAAUCCGUUACUUUACCAACAAAAAUAUUGUAAUCCGAUUACAGAUACUUUUGAGAAACUAGAUGAUUACUUCUAUGAUUACUUUUACAUUCAGAAAGUAUGUUUGCGAAAAAAAAAUCUUUGACACUUCUCUGUUUUCUCAAUGACAUUCAAAUCAGCAUUGAAAAAAGUUUAAAGUUUGUUCCAACUGAGCGAGUCUGACCACAUGUCAGAGAUCACUAUGAUGACACACUGAAUGUGUAAUGGGAAAAUAUUAUGAAAAGGCUUUUGUAGGCUACAGUCCAAGCUAUGUCUUCUAAUGGUCCGACCGCUGUCGGCAUCCAAAGAUUAUCCAAUUUGAAUAAAUGCUUGGAGGUAAGGAUGACAGCAGUUGUGUAGUCUCUACGGCGGUACGGAUAUCACUUAUAAUUGAUAUCUACAUAGCGCAUUGAUGAUGUGUAUCACACUGCUGCUCUCUCAUUCAUCUAUUUGCGCCUACGGAUUGUGGUUGUUGUGGAUGGCUGUUAACAAAUAUAAAUGUGUAU